rnacentral:rRNA from 1 species
AAAGGCCCGAGUUGAUAGACCUCGGCGUAAAGAGUGGCUACGGAAACCUCAACCAAAUAAAGCCAAAUGCCUUCUGGACUGUUAUACGUGUAUGAAGGUAAGAAGCCCCACCACGAAAGUGGCUUUAACCCAUCCCGCCCACGAAAGCCAAGAAACAAACUGGGAUUAGAUACCCCACUAUGCUUGGCCGUAAACCAUGAUAUGCAAUUACAAAUGUUAUCCGCCUGGGUACUACGAGCAUUA